AAAAAAUUUGAUUCUAGUUUAGUAUUUUAGUUUAUAUUUCAAUUAUAUGUAAAUUUGAGUAAAAAAUUUUUAAUUUAAAUAGAUAAAAAUUUAAUAAUAUUAAUCAAUAAUUAAAUUUAUACAAUAAAAGAAAUUUUGAUAUAGGAAUAUAUAAGAGUAUUGAUAAAAUUUGUGCCAGCAAUCGCGGUUAAACAAAUAAUACAAUUAAAUUUUAUUUAAUAAUAAUGAAUAAGAAUUAAAUUAAUUUAAAAUUAAAUUUAUUAGGUGAAAUUAUAAAUUUAAAUAAAAUUAAAAUAAAAUUUAUGAAUUUAUGAAAAUUUUUUAUUAGACUAGGAUUAGAUACCCUAUUAUAAAAAUUAUAAAAUUUAGAAAUAUUAGAGUAGUAAUAGUUUAUGUUCUUGAAAUUUAAAGAAUUUGGCGGUAUUUUAGUCUAUUUAGAGGAACCUGUCCUAUAAUUUGAUAAUCCACGAUUAAUUUUACUUAAUUUAAUAGUUUAUAUAUCGUCGUAAUUUGAAUAUCUUAAAAGAGUAAAUAAUAUUCAAAAUUUAAUAUAAAUAAAAUAAAUCAGAUCAAGGUGUAGCUUAUAAUUAAGGAGAGAUGGGUUACAAUAAAUUUAUUUAGAUGGAUAUAAUAUUUAAAAAUAUUUAUUGAAAUUGGAUUUAAGAGUAAUAUAUUUAAGUUAAAAUAUAUGAUUUUAAGCUCUAAAAUAUGUACAUAUUGCCCGUCGCUUUCAUUGAAUAUUAAAGUGAAAUAAGUCGUAACAUAGUGGGUGUACCGGAAGGUGUGUCUAGGCAGCU
rnacentral:ncRNA from 1 species